rnacentral:piRNA from 1 species
UUACUUUUGUUCGGUCUUUAAAGUACCUG